UACGUAGGGGGCAAGCGUUGUCCGGAAUGAUUGGGCGUAAAGGGCGUGCAGGCGGUUCGGCAAGUCUGAUGUGAAAGGUCCCGGCUCAACCGGGGAGGUGCAUUGGAAACUGUUGGACUUGAGUCCAGGAGAGGGGAGUGGAAUUCCACGUGUAGCGGUGAAAUGCGUAGAUAUGUGGAGGAACACCAGUGGCGAAGGCGGCUCCCUGGCCUGAGACUGACGCUGAGGCGCGAAAGCGUGGGGAGCGAACAGG
rnacentral:rRNA from 1 species